rnacentral:rRNA from 1 species
AUUGAACGCUGGCGGAAUGCUUUACACAUGCAAGUCGGGCGGCAGCGCGGGGGCAACCCUGGCGGCGAGCGGCGAACGGGUGAGUAACACAUCGGAACGUACCCUGUCGUGGGGGAUAACGAAUCGAAAGAUUCGCUAAUACCGCAUACGACCUGAGGGUGAAAGCGGGGGAUCGCAAGACCUCGCGCGAGAGGAGCGGCCGAUGGCGGAUUAGCUAGUUGGUGGGGUAAAGGCCCACCAAGGCGACGAUCUGUAGCUGGUCUGAGAGGAUGGCCAGCCACACUGGAACUGAGACACGGUCCAGACUCCUACGGGAGGCAGCAGUGGGGAAUAUUGGACAAUGGGGGCAACCCUGAUCCAGCCAUGCCGCGUGUGUGAAGAAGGCC